rnacentral:lncRNA from 1 species
AUGGAGAAUAUUCAAAGAUGUCUAAUUCCACGUGUGCUUAAAGGAAUUCAUCUAGGAAAAUAUGGGGGGCAAUUUCAAUUGAGAGAGAAAUUUAAGACAACAGAGUAUCAUGUAUGGAGUCGAUUGAAUAGGAAAAGCCUUUGGAGGAAGGAGACCUCGUUCUGUGAUAGCAAGGUGGCAGAGACAGAUGGACAGAAAGCUUAACUGCACAAUCUACUUUGACUGGCUAAAGACCAAAAUAAACCUUAAUUUAUGAUUUAUCAUUCUGCAAUUGGUUAUCGCAAUGGAUGCUUUGGUAGAUUCCCUAAACUCCUUCCUCAAGACCAUCCAGCAGUUACUGGAAAUAACAGCAACUGACCACACAGAGCUCAAUCCCUCAAGAAGAGUUGUGCUCAGCUACAAGGAGCUGCUUUACCACAGGUGACUAGGGGCAAUCCAUGGCCAAUGACUGCCUAAUGAAGGGAUACAAUGGCCCUGCCUCAAGUUGGGACAACUUUAAAGGCCCACCUCAUCUCUAGAGUUCCCAAGAGCAUUGGCUGAAGUCUGAGAUGCAACUGCAUUACACGUUAUCUUGUAUCCCUCUGCCCAGGCCCUGUCAUCACUUGUUCAUAUGUGUAUGUUCUACUAGAGGACCCCAUAAGCAACCUAUGUGAAAUUGUCUGUCACUUAAUAGGGAACUCAUUUUUCUGAUACAGAAAAAACUUAGGUCCUGCAUUUUACAAAAAUAUGAGAUAAAGGAAUUUUCCUCCUUGAGUUUUGAAAAGAAUAAUCUGAAAAAGCUCAAAAACACAACGAAGAAUAAUUUCAUCGGGUUUAUGAAAACUUCUCAUUUUCAAUACAAUAAAUAUCAUGAGAUAGAAAUGACACUUGUCCUCACAAUAUCCAAGAUAGAGACUUACUUCAGAUUUUUCUAGGUGGAAUUGGCUGGGAUUGCAUAUAUUUGAUAAGUGCUAAAUCUAAAGAGUUUAACCUUUAAGCCAUUUACAGGCAGGACUGUGUAUAAUUCUUAGGUAAAACAGGAGAUACAUAUUUUGUAUUUUUUAUUUUAAAAAUAGAAGUGGAGAAUCAAAAGGUGUAUUGUGAAAAUGAGAACAGCAAGUUGCAUAUAUAUCUAUAGUACAGUUUUUAUAAGUGCAAAGGCACCAAAAUCCUUAAGAAGCUUGUGUAUAUAUUUGUAUAUAUUUGAGGUUGAAGAAACUUAUGUAACAGGCAUUAACUAUCAUAAGGUGAAACUAGUAGAAAGGAAAGUUAGCAAGAGUGUGAAUACAGUCCUUUAAAAGGUUUAAAAUAAUCAUUAUUCCUCUAUAUUAUUCUAGUGUUUUUUCCUGGUUGAAGUUAAGCGGUAUGAGGUCCAUAAUUUUGGAAGAGACAUUAGAGAUUUAAAAUGAAAUAGAACAAUGCCUUUAAUAUAAAAAACAGACUACAGAAAACUAAAUAAAAAUUUUGUUCAUUGUAAUGUGAUACCGGCUGAUGUUGAUAUUACUGAAAGGAUGGCUCUAAGUUCACAGUGGAAUUGACUGUAAACAGAAGCAAUAGUUUCAAAGAACUGUGGUAAGCAUAAACCAAAUUGGGUUAUAAUUGAUGACAGAAUUUUAAAAUGUUUCUUUCCUAAAGUGAUGCCUAUAUUACUGUUGACUAUUAAGUUAUUUAUUUUUCUUAUUUCUGUCUUCAAAACCAUGUUUAAAGAAGUAGCAGAGAUAGAGCAUGUCAUGUUUAAAACCCCUCAAAACUCCCCGUAACUUUCAGGGUAAAAUCCAGACUCAUUAAACUGGAAUGUAGGUCUCAUAUAUCCUUUCUGCUUACU